GCGGACGCAGCCAGGUGCGCUUGCUCGCUCCCCACCGGCCCAGUCCCGUCACCUCGGCCCGCGGCCCGCCUGACGGCCUCCGUGUUUUCGGGACGGCCCUCCCUGCUUCUGGACUCCUCCGGGGAGGUGAUACGGUCUGGCUCCUCACCGCGCCUGGCCGUGCAUCGUGGCUCCAGUCACAACUCGCGGCCGCCUGGGCGCGCAGCCCCGCAUCUCUCGGCCCGCGCUCCGGCUGCCUGCGUCCAACCACACAGUCGCUUGACUUUCUUUUCCUUUUCCCUUUUUUUUCUCGUUGUGAUGGCAAAUCUGGGUUUCCUUUCUAGCCUUUUUCUUUCCUUCCUUCCUUCCUUUUUUUUUUUUUUUUUUUCUUUUGCAGCGGGAGGAGUCGGGGGGAGGGGGAGUAGCUUGGAGAGCUUUUAAAAAAAAACCCGUCCUGGUGCAGCAGCUAUAGUUCGGCGCGGCCGGAACAGUUCAGCAAGGGCCGCUGCUGUCGCCGCCCAGGCCGCAGUUCGUUGCUGGCUGUCUCCGGACAGGCGUCCCUCUGUCCCUGGUCUCCUGGCCCAGUCCGCCGCCCUGGCGCGUCUCUCCCCAGCUCCGAUGGCUCGGUCACUGCUCCUGGCUGUUGGCUGAGCUCUGGAAGCCCCCUCGCCUUAAUGCAGCGCCCGCCGACGUCACCGCGGCCUGCGACCAAUCAGCGGCUCGCGGUCCCUCUGUAAACCAUUCUGCAUCCCCGGGCCGGGGAGAGUGCCGGGAGACCGCGUUUAGAGGAUCAGUGGCGGCCGCAUCCCCGGCCCCGCGCGGUGCAGGCGGCGGGCAGCGAGGUGCCCGAGCCCCUCCUGCUCCGGGGAUGAGAGGCGGCACUGGAUCUCUAGACAAUGAACACGGCGGACCCAGCCACAUGCGCCAGCAAGCAGGCUAAAGAGGGCUGAAAGCGAGAGAGCUUAGCGGAGAUGGAGAAGCUCUGUGGCGUGGACAGAAAAAACCCUGCAUCUCCAGAAACAUUCUGUCUCUGUGUGCCCCCCAGGCCUGGAGGCAGCCCACGGCACCAGGCUCCAGAGAGCCAGCUUCCUGACUUCAGCGGUGUGAAGAUGAUCCAGUACAUUUUUGGUUCUGGCUUUCAGCCGUCCCCCAAGCAGAGCCUGGAGCAUGGACAUCUCCUUGUUGUAGGGUCUGUACCAGGAGGUGAGCACGAGGUCACACAGUCCCUUUGA
rnacentral:lncRNA from 12 species